rnacentral:rRNA from 1 species
AAGACCUUGCGCUUUUGGAGCGGCCGAUGCCUGAUUAGCUUGUUGGUAAGGUAAAAGCUUACCAAGGCUUCGAUCAGUAGCUGGUCUGAGAGGACGGCCAGCCACACUGGGACUGAGACACGGCCCAGACUCCUACGGGAGGCAGCAGUGGGGAAUUUUGGACAAUGGGGGCAACCCUGAUCCAGCCAUGCCGCGUGAGUGAAGAAGGCCUUCGGGUUGUAAAGCUCUUUCAGCCGGAACGAAACGGUUACGGUUAAUACCCGUGACUACUGACGGUACCGGAAGAAGAAGCACCGGCUAACUACGUGCCAGCAGCCGCGGUAAUACGUAGGGUGCGAGCGUUAAUCGGAAUUACUGGGCGUAAAGCGUGCACAGGUGGUUUUGUAAGUCAGAUGUGAAAGCCCCGGGCUCAACCUGGGAACU